rnacentral:rRNA from 1 species
AACGAACGCUGGCGGCAGGCCUAACACAUGCAAGUCGAGCGAGAACUUCGGUCCUAGCGGCGGACGGGUGAGUAACGCGUGGGAACGUGCCCUUUGCUUCGGAAUAGCCCUGGGAAACUGGGAGUAAUACCGGAUGAGCCCUUUGGGGGAAAGAUUUAUCGGCGAAGGAUCGGCCCGCGUUGGAUUAGGUAGUUGGUGGGGUAAUGGCCUACCAAGCCGACGAUCCAUAGCUGGUUUGAGAGGAUGAUCAGCCACACUGGGACUGAGACACGGCCCAGACUCCUACGGGAGGCAGCAGUGGGGAAUCUUAGACAAUGGGGGAAACCCUGAUCUAGCCAUGCCGCGUGAGCGAUGAAGGCCUUAGGGUUGUAAAGCUCUUUCAGCUGGGAAGAUAAUGACGGUACCAGCAGAAGAAGCCCCGGCUAACUCCGUG